CAUAUCAUAUUAUUAUAAUAUUAAAUUAUAAAUAUUGAAUCUCAUAACAAUGAUAAUUCUUGAAUAGGAGAGAUGAUUCCCAGAGGUUUGAGAAAAAAAUCAAAAUGUUAGGUGUUUUACCUAAAAAAGUAUUGUAGAUAUGGAAUUCCUAGAAACAAGUUUCUUCUAAUCCAAACAUAAGACCCUUGCUUUAUGGAGUAUGCAGAAGGUGCAGCAAAAGUUAACAUUGGACCAAUGAAUAUAAAUCAACAAGGGACAAACAAGGUAACCCUUAUGCAUUGGAAAACACCUUGGAGUGCUCUCUCAUAGGCUUCCAUGUCAAAUUUGGUUCAGUCAUUCUCUGUCAUCAUGAGGGAAAUUGCUCCCCAGGGCAAUUAAAGAAUCUAAUGACUAUUGUAAAGCAAAAACAGAAACCAUACUGUUCUGGAGGAUUGAAAAAGCUUUAGAAGAUAAAACAAAAAUUUUAGGAGGAACCAUAAAGAAAAUGUUAUAAAGAUUAGAUUUAAACAAGAGAGAACUCUUAACUAGAAGAUGUAAUAGUUCAUCAAACAGCAAGACCAUUCAUUCUAAACUAACUUAUAAAACGAACAAAUGCUUUUUUUUUUGGUCAGAUGUAACUUACCAAAAGGGAAACAACCUGAAGUUAGGGUUGGGGAAGGGUUUUAUUUUUAUCUUUCCAGGAAAAUGAAGACAUCCAACUAAGGAAUCUGAAGAACACUGGACAAUACGACAUCUGAAGAAAAAGGAUGAGUAAUCCAGAAAAAUGUCCCAAGACACAGUUCCAACAGAGAAGUGUCUCCUCCUUUGGCAGCAAGCAGCCAAGUAAUGUAUUGAAAGACCCUCGGACCGAGGAGUGUCCACAAAUCGGACGGUCCCCCCAAAAACACUCAAUGUCCAGUCCAACUGAUGCAAAAACAAGAGCUACCUGCAGAUCUAGUAAUCUCAACUUCUCCAGCGCUGUUUCUGUCUGCAUGCCCCUAUUGACUACUUCAAUGAGCCAUGAGGAUAAUGAACUAAACCUCUGAAACUGGAACAUGUCAACUGUGAUGGAAUUGAUGCAGCUUCUCUGGUGUAGCUUCCCCAAAUCACUAGUACAUCCUUCUGACAGGAAUUUUGUAAUACAUGCUAGCAAAUUCCAAAUAUGGCAUCAAAGAAGAGGUCUGGAGGUGAGGUGGGGAGGGAGAUCCUUGAGAUCUUAGUGAAGUUCAAUCAAACUAGAAAUCUUACAAGAGCCUCAGAACAAUACCUUUGUUAUUUACUGAACAUCCACUAUGUUGCUGGCACCCAGAACACGUCCUUCAUAAUUACCCUCACUUGGUUAAGCACUUUCUACCUGCUUAGUAGAAAAAUAAAGGAACAAAUAUGAUUCA